rnacentral:tRNA from 1 species
UGGUUCAAUGAUAGAAUUCUCACCUUCCAAGUGGGAGACCUGGGUUCGAUUCCUGG